AUCUAUGGCUAAGCCACCCUGAAACUGCUGAUCUCAUCUCAUCAGAAGCUAAGCAGGGUCAGCUCUGGUUGGUACUUGGAUGGGAGAAUUAUUCAUCUGCCACGUAUC
ensembl:rRNA Gm23115 predicted gene, 23115